GCAAUAGAAUAUGGAAGUAUGCUUAUUCUAGAACUAAGAUUUGAAUUCUUGAGAAUUCUGUGUUUCAUAGAAAUAUUCAAAAUAUAGCAUGCCCUAUAUAUUUGAAGUUAACUUUUGGUCUUAUAUUUUCCUGCAUUUAGCAUGGGAAAUAAAGAUGAUUAAGAGUAAAGAUGGUGAUGUUUUUUGUUUGCUUAAUUUUUAUUUUUAUAGAUGUGUGUGUUGAGGCUUAUACAAGUUAUUUGAUCAGUUGAAAAGAUUGAAAAAAUCUUAAAUUCACAAAGUUCUAAAGAAACCUCUGCACUAGAAGCAAGCAGCCCGUAGCACUCGUGCUUCUGCCCCCGUUCGUCCACACUUAGCAGACAGUCUGUACGCGGCCCUUCUGCAGCCUGUGUGUCUCCCGCGGCUCUGCUUCGCUGCGGGCCUUGGCAGCGCCUGCAGCCCCUCCAGCCAUGUCCACGUUCGGCCCCUGGGGAGCUGGCCCUCCAGUGUUCUUCCCGUCUUUGCUGUUGCUGCUGUGCUCCUCGGAUAGAAACACCUCGGUGAGCUCUGUGUCUACAAUCCUGUCCCUUUGCAACACUGUCCUUGAUAAACAGACAUUGUGCGCUUUCUUGCUCAGAAUUACCUUGGAGGACUUUUUUCUCCGGAAGAGCAGCUCUGAGCUCUAGAGUCAGGAAAGCCAGAGCAGCGUCAGCGCAUGGUAAAUCCAUCAUGCUCUGCCAGGCCCAGAAAUGCUGAGAUAAGGAUAAAUAGGAAAUGCGCAUGGGAUCAAUCAGUAGAGGUUGGGAUUUGGCUUCGGUGUUGGUCGUGCCGAGCGCUUGCCUUCCCUCCACACCAGUUCUGAUGCUCUGGGACGGGGCACACCGUGGCAGGUCUCCAGACAUUUUGGGUUUCCUUACAGUGUGUUUCCUCACUACCUGACUGCCCAUCCUCAGAUGUGGGAUGCCUCAUAGAGCCCAGCAGAGGCUUUGGGGCCUUUGUUGUGUUUUGUUUUGUUUUUUUUUCUUUCACUGUUCAGCUUCUUUUUGAAUGGGGUUGACGCUUUCUAAUGUGGGGGGCAAGAGGGAAGUGUAUCCAGUCCACUUGAUGGCAGAUGCACUGUGAGUGAUUUCUCACCAGCUCCCGGAGCACCGAGCUUGCUCUUUCUGCCGUUGGGUAAAUGUAAACUUGGAGUCCGCUGCUCUGAGCGAUUUCCCAGGUUGCUGCUAGGCGGUCAGUUUUAGCUGAUUGAGGAGACAGCAGUAGUUAGUACUGGGGAGGUACUUGGGAGGGAGAAUGAGGCAGGCGGAGAAGAAGAGGGGGAUGCGGGUAUGAACGGUAGGACAGGGAAAGAGAGAGGAGGGGGGUAGAGAAUGGGAAAAGAAGGGAGAAGAAGGGCACGAAUGGGAGAGCCCGAGGAACGUGGUGGAAACAUGCAGUUGUACCCACACUGACCUAAAAUAGCUCCAUCCCCUUGCCUGGGCCCUGUGGCCUGGGCCAGGCUGCGUCGGUGGCUUCUACGACCUCCCCGCUCCUCACCCCUCGCACCUGGGGCCUGCUGCACAGACAGUUUGUCCUGAAAAUUGAUGGCAUGCAGGUGCAGGUGGCAUGGGGGGCGGUGGGGGUGGCAGGUUUUAACUUUGGGAAUUACACUUCUCUAAUUGUCUCUACUAGCCCUCUCUGGACUAGAGAGAUUUUGGAGAGAAUUGCCACAGAAUUUAACCAGUUACAGUUUCAUGCUGUUCAGAGCAAAGGCCUGCCUCUUCUGGACAAAGUAAGACCACGUAUAGCCCACAUUACGGCCAUGCUGCAGCAGUCCCUGGGAGGCCUGCUGCUAGAAGGGCUUCAGACUUCCAAUGUGGACAUCAAAUGGCACUGCCUCCGGACUUACGCUACAA